rnacentral:rRNA from 1 species
CCAGUGACAAAGUUAAACGGCCGCGGUACCCUGACCGUGCGAAGGUAGCAUAAUCACUUGUUCUUUAAAUCAGGACUAGUAUGAAUGGCCUCACGAGAGCUGUACUGUCUCCCCCCCCUAAUCAGUGAAACUGAUCUCCCCGUGAAGAAGCGAGGAUGUUCAUAUAAGACGAGAAGACCCCAUGGAGCUUUAAACUCACACCACUGCCCCACCCCCACACCCAACAAACUGCGGCAGCAUGGUCGACGAGUCUUUCGGCUGGGGCGGCCACGGAGAAAAACAAAACCUCCAUGAUGAAAGGACACCCUAAUCUAAGAGCCACCACUCUAAGAAUCAACAAACUGACACAUUGACCCAAACAUUUUGAUCAACGAACCAAGUUACCCUGGGGAUAACAGCGCAAUCCAUUUCGAGAGGCCCCAUCAACAAAUGGGCUUACGACCUCGAUGUUGGAUCAGGGUAUCCCAGUGGUGCAGCCGCUACUAAAGGUUCGUUUGUUCAACGAUUAAAACCUU